AACUAACGCUAGUGGUAUGCCUCAAACAUGCAAGUCGAACGAGAAAGCAUCUUCGGAUGCGAGUACAGUGGCGCACGGGUGAGUAACACGUAACUAACGUCCCCUUUCGCUGUGGACAACUCCGGGAAACCGGAGCUAAUACAGAAUGAUCUUUUACUAUCUGCGGAUAGUUUUGGUAAAGCUUUCGGGCGCGAAAGGAUCGGGUUGCGGCUUAUUAGUUUGUUGGUGGGGUAAUGGCCUACCAAGACUACGAUAGGUAGCUGGUCUGAGAGGAUGAUCAGCCACACUGGAACUGAAACACGGUCCAGACACCCACGGGUGGCAGCAGUUGGGAAUCUUGGACAAUGGGAGAAAUCCUGAUCCAGCAAUACCACGUGAGUGAUGAAGGCUCUCGGGUCGUAAAGCUCUUUCAGCGGGGAAGAAGGGAAACUUGACGGUACCCGCAAAAGAAGCACCGGCUAACUCCG
rnacentral:rRNA from 1 species